rnacentral:rRNA from 1 species
UAGCGUAGGGUGCGAGCGUUGUCCGGAAUCACUGGGCGUAAAGCGCACGUAGGCGGCUUUUUAAGUCAGGGGUGAAAUCCUGGAGCUCAACUCCAGAACUGCCUUUGAUACUGAGAGCUUGAGUCCGGGAGAGGUGAGUGGAACUGCGAGUGUAGAGGUGGAAAUUCGUAGAUAUUCGCAAGAACACCAGUGGCGAAGGCGGCUCACUGGCCCGGUACUGACGCUGAGGUGCGAAAGCGUGGGGAGCAAACAGG